GCCUGAGUGGCUCAGUUGGUUGAGCGUCUGACUUCAGCUCAGGUCAUGAUCUCAUGGUUUGUGGGUUCGAGCCCCACAUCAGGCU
rnacentral:tRNA from 1 species